UACGAAGGGGGCUAGCGUUGCUCAGAAUCACUGGGCGUAAAGCGCACGUAGGCGGAUCGUUAAGUCAGGGGUGAAAUCCUGGAGCUCAACUCCAGAACUGCCUUUGAUACUGGCGAUCUUGAGUUCGGGAGAGGUGAGUGGAACUGCGAGUGUAGAGGUGAAAUUCGUAGAUAUUCGCAAGAACACCAGUGGCGAAGGCGGCUCACUGGCCCGAUACUGACGCUGAGGUGCGAAAGCGUGGGGAGCAAACAGG
rnacentral:rRNA from 1 species